AUCCCUAUGGGAGGCAGCAGUAGGGAAUCUUCCACAAUGGGCGAAAGCCUGAUGGAGCAACGCCGCGUGGGUGAAGAAGGUCUUCGGAUCGUAAAACCCUGUUGUUAGAGAAGAAAGUGCGUGAGAGUAACUGUUCACGUUUCGACGGUAUCUAACCAGAAAGCCACGGCUAACUACGUGCCAGCAGCCGCGGUAAUACGUAGGCGGCAAGCGUUAUCCGGAUAUCUUGGGCGUAAAGGGAACGCAGGCGGUCUUUUAAGUCUGAUGUGAUAGUCUUUGGCUUAACCGGAGUAGUGCAUUGGAAA
rnacentral:rRNA from 1 species